AAAAUCGUAAGAUGACGUAUACGGUGUGACGCCUGCCCGGUGCCGGAAGGUUAAUUGAUGGGGUUAGACUUCGGUCGAAGCUCUUGAUCGAAGCCCCGGUAAACGGCGGCCGUAACUAUAACGGUCCUAAGGUAGCGAAAUUCCUUGUCGGGUAAGUUCCGACCUGCACGAAUGGCGUAAUGAUGGCCACGCUGUCUCCACCCGAGACUCAGUGAAAUUGAAAUCGCUGUGAAGAUGCAGUGUACCCGCGGCUAGACGGAAAGACCCCGUGAACCUUUACUACAGCUUGGCACUGAACAUUGACCCUACAUGUGUAGGAUAGGUGGGAGGCUUUGAAGCACGUACGCCAGUAUGUGUGGAGCCGUCCUUGAAAUACCACCCUUGUAGUGUUGAUGUUCUAACGUCGACCCCUAAUCGGGGUUGCGGACAGUGCCUGGUGGGUAGUUUGACUGGGGCGGUCUCCUCCCAAAGAGUAACGGAGGAGCACGAAGGUGGGCUAAUCACGGUUGGACAUCGUGAGGUUAGUGCAAUGGCAUAAGCCCGCUUGACUGCGAGAAUGACAAUUCGAGCAGGUGCGAAAGCAGGUCAUAGUGAUCCGGUGGUUCUGAAUGGAAGGGCCAUCGCUCAACGGAUAAAAGGUACUCCGGGGAUAACAGGCUGAUACCGCCCAAGAGUUCAUAUCGACGGCGGUGUUUGGCACCUCGAUGUCGGCUCAUCACAUCCUGGGGCUGAAGUCGGUCCCAAGGGUAUGGCUGUUCGCCAUUUAAAGUGGUACGCGAGCUGGGUUUAGAACGUCGUGAGACAGUUCGGUCCCUAUCUGCCGUGGGCGUUGGAAGAUUGAAGGGGGCUGCUCCUAGUACGAGAGGACCGGAGUGGACGAACCUCUGGUGUUCGGGUUGUGUCGCCAGACGCAUUGCCCGGUAGCUAAGUUCGGAAUCGAUAACCGCUGAAAGCAUCUAAGCGGGAAGCGAGCCCUGAGAUGAGUCUUCCCUGAUACUUUAAGUAUCCUAAAGGGUUGUCGGAGACUACGACGUUGAUAGGUCAGGUGUGUAAGUGCUGUGAGGCAUUGAGCUAACUGAUACUAAUUGCCCGUGAGGCUUAACCAUACAACACCCAAGGGGUUU
rnacentral:rRNA from 1 species